AGAGGUGAAUUAAGAACAGGAGGAAGUGGUGGAUGGAAUGUUAAUGUGGAGGUGAAUUAAGAACAGGAGGAAGUGGUGGAUGGAAUGUUAAUGUGGAGGUGAAUUAAGAACAGGAGGAAGUGGUGGAUGGAAUGUUAAUGUGGAGGUGAAUUAAGAACAGGAGGAAGUGGUGGAUGUAAUGUUAAUGUGGAGGUGAAAGGGGGGAAGAAGAUACAAAGCCGGCCGGAUGCAAAGACAAGAAGCAAAAUCAAUACACUGAAACUGACAGACAACCUGAGAAACACAGUUACAAACCAAAUCCUGGGUCAGUCACAUUACAUCACAGACAUAUUGACUGUA